ACAGUUUAUGCCGCAUGGCAUAAGAGUGAAAGGCGCUUUCGGGUGUCGCUGAUGGAUGGACCCGCGGUGCAUUAGCUAGUUGGUGAGGUAACGGCUCACCAAGGCCACGAUGCAUAGCCGACCUGAGAGGGUGAUCGGCCACACUGGGACUGAGACACGGCCCAGACUCCUACGGGAGGCAGCAGUAGGGAAUCUUCGGCAAUGGACGAAAGUCUGACCGAGCAACGCCGCGUGAGUGAAGAAGGUUUUCGGAUCGUUAAACUCUGUUGUUAGAGAAGAACAAGGACGUUAGUAACUGAACGUCCCCUGACGGUAUCUAACCAGAAAGCCAUGGCUAACUACGUGCCAGCAGCCGCGGUAAUACGUAGGUGGCAAGCGUUGUCCGGAUUUAUUGGGCGUAAAGCGAGCGCAGGCGGUUUCUUAAGUCUGAUGUGAAAGCCCCCGGCUCAACCGGGGAGGGUCAUUGGAAACUGGGAGACUUGAGUGCAGAAGAGGAGAGUGGAAUUCCAUGUGUAGCGGUGAAAUGCGUAGAUAUAUGGAGGAACACCAGUGGCGAAGGCGGCUCUCUGGUCUGUAACUGACGCUGAGGCUCGAAAG
rnacentral:rRNA from 1 species